UACAGGCCUAACACAUGCAAGUCGAGGGCGAGCAGAUCGAAAGCUUGCUUUGAUGCUGGCGACCGGCGAAUGGGUGAGUCACGCGUGUCCAACCUGCCCUGUGCCCGGGGAUAGCCCUUGGAAAUGAGGAUUAACACCCGAUACGUGGCGCUUCCGCAUGGCGGCGCCAUGAAACCGACACAGGAUGGGGACGCGUCGGAUUAGCUUGACGGCGGGGCGACGGCCCACCGUGGCGACGAUCCGCAGGGGUUCUGAGAGGAAGGUCCCCCACACUGGCACUGAGACACGGGCCAGACUCCUACGGGAGGCAGCAGUGAGGAAUAUUGGUCAAUGGCCGAGAGGCUGAACCAGCCAAGUAGCGUGCAGGACGACGGCCCUACGGGUUGUAAACUGCUUUUGCGGGAGGAUAAAGGACACUACGUGUAGUGUUUUGCAGGUAUCCCGUGAAUAAGGACCGGCUAAUUCCGUGCCAGCAGCAGC
rnacentral:rRNA from 1 species